GGAACAAUCACAAUGAAAACAGCGUGUGCAUUUGGAACCAAAGCUUGUUUAUUCAGAUCACCCUUAGAGUUGAAACCUGUCAUUUGAAGGAUUUUUAGAGAAACUCAGGUUUCAUUUUCAAAAGCUGUAGGUUUCUUGUAGGUAUUAUUAUUUUUUUGGUAGAGGCAACAUAACCCAGUUUGAGGGCCCCUUUAGGGUUUUGGAUUCUUUGCAGAGUCUUUUUCAUGUUGAAUACAUACAUUUAUUCUUUUUAAAACAGUUUGCCCAUUUCUUUCCUCCAUGACGGAGAGAGAGAGAGAGGCUCCCCGACCGGGUCUUCGUUCCCCCACUUCGGCCAGCCCAGGUCAGCCUGGGUCAGCCAUACGCAGGGACAUCUCCGGACAUGAGCCCCAAAGUCCCCGGCUCCCUGAGCACCCUAAUGCUGCUGCGCUCCGUCCGGCCCCAGAGUCACGGCCUGGCCGAGGGUUCCCAAAGCAGUUCUUGGCCCCAGUAACGUCUCUGGCGUCUCACAGGAAGACGAGUCUCCGGAGAAGACCUGGCUCCAGGCGCCGUGGUGGCCAGCGAGUUUUAUUUUCGUGUUCGAAUAUCAGAGACUCCAUUACCCUGGCCUCCCACCUAUGUCGCACAUGCGCAGCUCAGCCCCGAGGCGCCAGCAGGCCUUGGCCUCCAAGAGCAGGGGACCCCCGGUGUCCCGGAGGGAGAGAACGUGGGCUCUGGGCUCACGGCGACCACGCUGCGGCCUGCGUAGAGUCACAGCCCGGCAUCUUCUGACCUGAGAGCAAGCACCGGCCUGCAGAGCAGUGGAGUCUCGUGUCUCCCCAAGGCUUGAUCCCAAGCAGAGCUGGUUCUGUGCCCUGGGAAUGCCCUCAGAGCGGCUGGGCUGUACGCAGUGACGUGGCUCGAAGCCCUGGCCCGGUCAGCCUGAAACACAGCGGGAGCGAGUGCCAACGCCCUAGGUCCGAGAGGCCGGGGACUGGAGGAAGGGCCCGUGCUCAGUGCUCUGACUCCCGCUCCUUCACGCCCAUGCAUGCGGCUGUGUGCUGCACCACUGACUGCAAGCAAGCGGAUCUCUGGGGACAUCCGCGGACCGGGGACCCUCCGCUGCCACCCUCCCACACCAGCGCAUAGGCAAAUGAAGGUGCUGGACCAAGGGCCAAGGAAUACUAAGGAGGUCCUGGCAGAGAGAGGACAUCAAUUUGAGACGGAUGGAAGAGGUGGACGGCAACGAAAAGCAAUUACAGUGCGUGUAACCCUAGCGGAGCACUCGUGUACAGUAGCACGAAUUCACGCGUCCAUCUACACGUAAAGGCAGACUGAACGUGAACUCGGAACACACAGUAACAUCUCUAGUCAAGUGAGUGAGUUGCCCUCAGGCAGAAACCAAACGAAAACAAAGAGUGCACUCGCUUGACAUCUGCAGCGGAAUCUCAGGGCGGCGUGGCCAGAACCACGUGGGGGCACUGCUGCCUCAUCGAAGCUGAAAUGUGGGUGUGUGUGAGGAUGUUUGCGAGUGUGAGUGUGUAAGUGUGAGUACACGAGAGUGUAUGUGUGUGAG